CAGGACGAACGCUGGCGGCGUGCCUAAUACAUGCAAGUCGAACGGUCUUUCUAUGGAAGCUUGCUUCCACUGAGAAGAUAGUGGCGAACGGGUGAGUAACACGUGGGUAACCUGCCCAUAAGAGGGGGGAUAACAUCCGGAAACGGGUGCUAAUACCGCAUAGUUUUCUUGAUCGCAUGAUCGGGAAAGGAAAGACGGCCUUUGUGCUGUCGCUUAUGGAUGGACCCGCGGCGUAUUAGUUAGUUGGUGAGGUAACGGCUCACCAAGACGAUGAUACGUAGCCGACCUGAGAGGGUGAUCGGCCACAUUGGGACUGAGACACGGCCCAAACUCCUACGGGAGGCAGCAGUAGGGAAUCUUCCGCAAUGGACGAAAGUCUGACGGAGCAACGCCGCGUGAGUGAAGAAAAGGUUUUCGGAUCGUAAAACUCUGUUGUCAGAGAAGAACAAGUUGGAGAGUAACUGCUCCAGCCUUGACGGUAUCUGACCAGAAAGCCACGGCUAACUACGUGCCAGCCGCCGC
rnacentral:rRNA from 1 species